AGUGCGGGCAAGGCGACCUCUCAUCAUUUAAUGGCGGAGCAAGAAUUCGAAUGCAUAUCAUCAAAACGGCUCAGUUUAGAAAUUAUGCAGACUUUUUGCGAGACUUGACAAUGGACGGAGUGGAUUAUGGAGAAUCUGCAUCCACGUGUUAAGUACUGUUGCUCCCAUUUUUAAUGCAUCGUUAUUUGCAAGCUGUGUGAAUGGAUUGUUAAUUAUUUUUGCUUACCGUGGAGAUGAAGAGACGAUGGAGUUGUCUUUGAUGCUUUUGAAAAUAGACUCUAAUUCGGACAGUUGUUCUUGCCUCUUCCGAGUCACUUCCUUCAAAGUCUAUGGAGAUAAUAUAAUAAAAAAAAGUGUGGUUCAAAUAAAUUCCAUAUGCGGAGUCGGAAUUGACGACAUCAACACAAUGUGCCAGAUGGUUCCAAUCCCAUCCCAGAACCCUCUCCUCCGCCGGUGAAGAGGUCAGGCAGAGGUUGAGAAAUCGUUGACACUCGUGGGGACCCAAAGGGGACAGCGAGGGGCCCUGCUCGGGAAUCUCGGGGUCGCCCCCUACACAGACCCCUCACUGACGGAGUUCCUUCCGAGUU